UGCAGGAGACACCUCUGAAGAGGGAGUUAGUUCUCGUCUUUAGUAGCAAUGUUUUACUUAUUGUUAAUCAAAGGAAUGACAUCCUAACGUGAGAGGCAUUUUUUAAUAUAUUGAAUAAUGGCCAUUUAAUCCAGCACUUUUCAAAAUUUUCAUUGUUUGUUCAGCAUGGAAUCAGAAAAGUCAUUGGCCUGUUUUCACUAAUUGGAGCCAUAUCUAUAGACCUAGAGUUAAAAGAAGCCACACUUAAAGGAAUAGUUUGGCAUUUUAGGAGUGUAGUUCAAAAUCCACCAAGCAACCCCUUUAAAGCUGUCCAAUUAACACGUUAAAAUUAGUCGUGAUUUAAAAAUAUUUAAAAAAAAAAACUUAAAAACAUAUUUUUGGGUUUUUUUUGGGGGGUUUUUGGGGUUCGGGCCCUAUUUUUUGGGGCUCUGAGUUUUUUUUAAUUUAAAUUUAAAACUUUUUUGGAGUCUUGGCUCGUUGCCUGGCAAACGCUCAGAGCCAAGAAAUGAAAACCUAUGCUCAAAACCCCUAAAGGACAUCCUUUAAAAUUUAUUUCCCCUUUUCGGGCAAAAUGCAUGUUCUCCCCCAGAAAAGAGAUGAUCUUUUUCCCACAUCACAGGGGAUGCAUGCUUCCCCCGGGCCCACACUCAUAAAAAAACUUAAAGGUUAGAUAUUUGACACUUGUAUUUCAAAUUUGUCUUUUUUUUUUAAAGGCCUUUUUAAAGGCUAACAUGGUCCACUUUUGAAAAUUAAAUUCCGUUUGUUGUGCUGUGGUGCCCCUAAGGGGGGGGGGGUGUGGUGUGUGUGUUUUGUGGGGUGUGUUUUUUGUGGUGAAAUUUUCCCGUACGUUUGUGCCAUGCCCUCUAGUUCUCACUACAAGAAGCUCUUUUUAGUUUCCCACCCCAGCUAUUUUUCCGCCAAACGGGGGUUCUGUGCAUUUCCCCCUCCGCAACAAAUCGUAUGCAAAGGCCCUGCAUUUUAUUUUUUUUCCAUGGGUUUUGGGGCCCCCCCCAAACAGGCAAAUCGGGUCUUUGCCCCUUGCUCUCGGGGUUUUUUAUUUUGGUCCUUUGUCCCUCAAAGGGCCAAGGCCCGCGAUUUUCCCUUGUAAAUUAAAGUCCCUUCCUCCCCACACCACUUUGGGAAUUUUUCUUUUGGGCAUUUAGCCCAUUUUUGGGGUUGAACAGGGAACCCCUGAACACAAGGAGCAAAACAAUUUUGGUUGCGGAUGUAGACUAGAUUUUAUUUUUGUUUUUUUUGUUUUUGUUUGAUUUAUUUUUUUUCCGUUGGUUGCUGACAAAGAUUAUCAUGAUCUGCCAGUCAAGCGCUGCUGAACGUACAAUGACAGAGAACUUUUCUUCUAUGGUUCCAAAUUUGCUUAAAAUCCCUUUUUUGUUUUUGUUUUGUUAUAAUCUUGUAGUUCAUUUAAUGACUUUGUAAUGUCAGACAUUUUUUAAUCAGAGCGUUGACAGAGGCUCGUCAGCCCAUUCUUUGUAACAUUUCAGAAUCUCAGAUUAAUGUGAACAUUAUGGUGAAAUAUUUAUCAGGCGUGUAAUUGAUGUACUCCGUUUAUUUUGUAAUGACAGAUCACUAUUUAAAUAAAGUUCAUGUACUCACAAAAUGCCGCGUAUGCACAUUGGUCUUCAA